CAGCAACCCACUUUUCAGGAUGGUAGCAUAAUGGCUCUUCUCUCCCUCUGCCCUGAUGAAUCCUGAAAAAAUAUUAAGCCCCAGGUAGAGAAGGAUGCAGAUAAAAACACGGUUAAGAAGCAAGGGAUGAGAGGCAAGGAUAAGGGAGUCUUAUAUCUCCCAGAGCGAUCCAUUUGUUUGGGUAUCUUGGAAAGUAGUAAUAUGGAGAAGCCUCAAGGAGAAUUCCAAAAAUCAACAAUGUGGGAAUUGAGAGGGGUACAGUUAUAGUGUCCUGAUUAGUGUUAACUUUAACACAAACUGCAGAAACAAACAAGCAAGCAAGAAAAUCAAACCAUCCUCGAUUGUAGGCCAACCUUGACAACUGGGCCACCCACCUGUCAAUCACCUGAUGUCACAAUGAUGUCAAGUGACCUGUUGAAAUCAAGCCAUGUGGGCAAAGGCACAGAUGUUUGCAGGUGCUGCCCAUCAGCUUUCAGCAGGAAGUCUUGUCUUUACCUGCCUCGCAUCUCACAUCAUGGCUUGGCUGAAAUGACUUGGUGGACCAAAUGAGGAGGUCUGGCAAACUGAUUUGGCCAGAGGUUCCCCACCCCUGUUGAAACCCAUGAUAGAAGCAAGGUCAAAUGCUACCAAUGGUAACAGAGAACGUGCCCCAGAGCCGCGGAGAGGUGUUGUCCAGUACUGACAUGUGCAUACACUGGAGCUUGCUCAGGAACAGUAGAAGGUUUCAGCAGUAAGAGCCAGUGUGGUGUGGUGGUUAAGAGUGGUAGAUUCGUAAUCUAGGGAACCAGGUUCGUGUCUCCGCUCCUCCACAUGCAGCUGCUGGGUGACCUUGGCCUAGUCACACUUCUCUGAAGUCUCUCAGCCUCACUCACCUCACAGAGUCUUUGUUGUGGGGGAGGAAGGGAAAGGAGAAUGUUAGCCGCUUUGAGACUCCUUCGGAUAGUGAUAAAGCAGGAUAUCAAAUCCAAACUCUUCUUAUUCUUUUUCUUCUUCUUCAGCACCUGCUCUGAGGGAUACCUUAGGAAAUCCUGGGCAAUCCCACCAGAGCAUGAAGGAACAUAUGCACAUCAGAUCCCACUGUGCUUGUAAGCAGCAGGACCAAUUAAAAUUUUAGAAGAAUAAAAUGUUGAAAGAGGAAGAACGAUUAUAUGCUCCAGAGAC